GCUGGGUGUGGUGAUGCACACCUGUAAUCCCAGCUACUUGGGAGGCUGAGGCAUGAGAAUCGCUUGAACCCAGGAGGCAGAGGUUGCAGUGAGCCGAGAUCGUGCCAUUGCACUCCAGCCUGGGUGACAGAGUGAGACUCUGUCUCAA
rnacentral:SRP_RNA from 1 species